rnacentral:rRNA from 1 species
AUUGGACGCUGGCGGCAUGCUUUACACAUGCAAGUCGAACGGUAACAGGGUGCUUGCACCGCUGACGAGUGGCGAACGGGUGAGUAAUGCGUCGGAACGUGCCGAGUAGUGGGGGAUAACGCAGCGAAAGUUGUGCUAAUACCGCAUACGUACUGAGGUAGAAAGUGGGGGACCUUCGGGCCUCACGCUAUUCGAGCGGCCGACGUCUGAUUGGCUAGUAGGUGAGGUAAAGGCUCACCUAGGCGACGAUCAGUAGCGGGUCUGAGAGGAUGAUCCGCCACACUGGGACUGAGACACGGCCCAGACUCCUACGGGAGGCAGCAGUGGGGAAUUUUGGACAAUGGGCGAAAGCCUGAUCCAGCCAUGCCGCGUGUCUGAAGAAGGCCUUCGGGUUGUAAAGGACUUUUGUCAGGGAGGAAAUCCCUAGUGCUAAUAACACUGGGGGAUGACAGUGCCUGAAGAAUAAGCACCGGCUAACUACGUGCCAGCCGCCGCAGUAA